rnacentral:rRNA from 1 species
CCUACGGGUGGCUGCAGUGGGGAAUAUUGGACAAUGGGCGAAAGCCUGAUCCAGCCAUGCCGCGUGUGUGAAGAAGGCCUUCGGGUUGUAAAGCACUUUCAGUGGGGAAGAAAGCCUUGGGGCUAAUACCCUCGAGGAAGGACAUCACCCACAGAAGAAGCACCGGCUAACUCCGUGCCAGCAGCCGCGGUAAUACGGAGGGUGCGAGCGUUAAUCGGAAUUACUGGGCGUAAAGCGCGCGUAGGGGGUCUGAUAAGCCGGUUGUGAAAGCCCCGGGCUCAACCUGGGAACGGCAUCCGGAACUGUCAGGCUAGAGUGCAGGAGAGGAAGGUAGAAUUCCCGGUGUAGCGGUGAAAUGCGUAGAGAUCGGGAGGAAUACCAGUGGCGAAGGCGGCCUUCUGGACUGACACUGACGCUGAGGUGCGAAAGCGUGGGUAGCAAACAGGAUUAGAUACCCUAGUAGUC